rnacentral:rRNA from 1 species
AAGGCGGCUUCGGCUGUCACUUAUGGAUGGACCCGCGUCGCAUUAGCUAGUUGGUGAGGUAACGGCUCACCAAGGCGACGAUGCGUAGCCGACCUGAGAGGGUGAUCGGCCACACUGGGACUGAGACACGGCCCAGACUCCUACGGGAGGCAGCAGUAGGGAAUCUUCCGCAAUGGACGAAAGUCUGACGGAGCAACGCCGCGUGAGUGAUGAAGGCUUUCGGGUCGUAAAACUCUGUUGUUAGGGAAGAACAAGUGCUAGUUGAAUAAGCUGGCACCUUGACGGUACCUAACCAGAAAGCCACGGCUAACUA